GAGUUUGAUCGUGGCUCAGGAUGAACGCUGGCGGCGUGCCUAAUACAUGCAAGUCGAGCGAACAGACGAGGAGCUUGCUCCUCUGACGUUAGCGGCGGACGGGUGAGUAACACGUGGAUAACCUACCUAUAAGACUGGGAUAACUUCGGGAAACCGGAGCUAAUACCGGAUAAUAUAUUGAACCGCAUGGUUCAAUAGUGAAAGACGGUUUUGCUGUCACUUAUAGAUGGAUCCGCGCCGCAUUAGCUAGUUGGUAAAGUAACGGCUUACCAAGGCAACGAUGCGUAGCCGACCUGAGAGGGUGAUCGGCCACACUGGAACUGAGACACGGUCCAGACUCCUACGGGAGGCAGCAGUAGGGAAUCUUCCGCAAUGGGCGAAAGCCUGACGGAGCAACGCCGCGUGAGUGAUGAAGGUCUUCGGAUCGUAAAACUCUGUUAUUAGGGAAGAACAAAUGUGUAAGUAACUAUGCACGUCUUGACGGUACCUAAUCAGAAAGCCACGGCUAACUACGUGCCAGCCC
rnacentral:rRNA from 1 species